UCACUUGAUUAGAUGAGGAGGGUUAAUCAGUUGUCUGCAUAGCUGAGUGUCUGGAAGGUACUGAAUAUAAAAUCUCCAUGAGCUGAGGUGACCCUGUGAAAGGAUCAGUCAACACCCCCUAUGGGUGUCGUGGGUUGAGAAGCACUGGGUUAAGGUUUCAUGAACUGGAGGCACAUCUACAGGAAGAUUACAGAAAGUGGCCACCAUGAGGAUGUCGGCGGUCUGUGCUGCAGCCUGAAGAUGCAUUGAUGUUUACAGGCCUGCUACAGCUGCAGGCCGUGUUAACAACUCUGCGCCCCACUGCCUCUCGGGGCUUGUCAGGGCUUGUCUGGGCCAGGGGUCCUACUGCAGAGGGGAGCUAUGUUUGUGGUCUGUGCUGUCGCCAGAAACCACGUGGACCCUGUGAUCCAUCAGUCUGUGUUGGGUUGGUCAUCCAUACCAUGCCAUGUGUGCCCAGUCCCAUCCCCCACUGGCUGUGAAGAGCAAGGAGGCUUCUUUUGCUGUGAUAUGGAUGACUGAAGACACACAGUUGAAAUAAGGGACAUGGAAGGCUUCUGUGACAACCUCUACCCACCCCAACUACCCCGCAAAAGUAACAGCCUCGUCAGGAAGCCAGUGAAGAGAACUCUUACAACAGUGUGAUAGGGUGCUGAGGUGUAGCUCUCCAUAACUGACGCUUCUGGCAGGGUUGUGGAAGGCAAAGGACUCAGUUCUCUCUCAGGGACAGGCCACUGGGAGUUUGACAACACAAAUGGGACUUUCAAAAAUUAUUAUUUUUAUCUUAACAUGUUUUGGGGAGAGGCUUGCAAGGGUGGGGGGCUGACACAGAAGGCCUGGAAAGCGAGUGUGAUUAAGGCCUGCACUGUGUUACUGCGUCACACAUAUUAAUAGGUUCCUAUGUCUUUUCUCGUACUAAUCUA